GGAGCCGGACAGACCGUCGCUGCGGGCCAUUGGCCCGGAGAGGAAAGUCCGGGCUCCACAGGGCAGGACGCUGGGUAACACCCAGGAGGGGCGACCCUCGGACAGCGCCACAGAAAGCAAACCGCCGUGCUUUGCGCGGUAAGGGUGAAACGGUGGGGCAAGAGCCCACCAGAUGCCGCGGUGACGCGGCAUGCUCGGCAUACCCCGUCUGGAGCAAGACCAAAUAGGGAAGGCGGCCGGCCCGGCCCAUGCCUUCCGGGUAGGUUGCUUGAGGGCGCGGGCAAUCGCGCUCCUAGAGGAAUGACGGUCACAUGCGACUUGUCGCAUGACAGAACCCGGCUUAUCGUCCGGCUCCCGCU
rfam:Desulfovibrio sp. 6_1_46AFAA genomic scaffold supercont1.1, whole genome shotgun sequence.